rnacentral:rRNA from 1 species
AUGCUAUGCACCUGGAACGGCAGCAUCGCGGACGAGCUGGGUGUGCCGUGCGUCACAUUCAGUGUGAUGGGCGCCUUCUCGAUGCUUGCUGUGCGUCACCUCGCGGACGAGGUUGGCAAUGACGAUGCCGUGAGGGAGGUCCCUCGGUUCCCCGUCCCGCCUAUACGGAUACCGAGGGCCGAGUUACCAAAUUUCUUGAGGACACACCACUACUCAUUCAUUAACUCGUUGAACUCACUUCAAGCUGACUGCUUUGGCCUCGCCAUGAACACUUCAUCAGACCUGGAGAAGCCUUAUUGCGAGAUAUACAGACGCCAGGGCUACGUGAAGCGCGCCUACUUUCUAGGGCCUGUUGCGUCAUUGCCCUUGCCCGCAGCCGCAGCCGCAGAGGAGAGGAAGGAGAAGGACAAGAAGAAGAACAAGUGCAUCAUCAUGGAUUGGCUUGACUCGAAGCCAGACCAUUCGGUGGCGUACGUCUCCUUCGGCAGCAUGGCGCACGCCAAGGAUGCUCAGCUGGACGAGCUUGCUCUUGGGCUGGAUGCCUCGGGGAAGUCGUUCCUGUGGGUGGUGAGGGGCAAGGAGGAUUGGAAUUCACCCAAGGGGUGGGAGGAGCGCGUCCAGGUCCAGGAUAGGGGGCUCAUCAUCAGAGCCUGGGCUCCACAGACAGCUAUACUAGGGCACCCGGCAGUGGGUGCAUUUGUGACGCACUGUGGGUGGAACUCCAUCCUAGAGACGGUGGCGGCUGGCCUGCCUGUGCUCACAUGGCCCGUCUUUUUUGAGCAGUUCAUCACCGAGAGGCAGGUGACGGAGGUCCUAGGGAUCGGGGAGCCGCUGUGGCCGGAUGGCGCCGCGGCCGGCCUACGCAGUGAGAGAAACCAAGAACACGAGGUUGUUCCGGGCCAAAACGUGGCACGGGCAUUGACGGGGUUUAUGGGCGCCGGAGGGCGAGGGGACGCUGCGAGAAUCAAGGUGAUGGACCUCGCCGCCAAGGCACGCGCAGCCGUGGCACAAGGAGGCUCCUCCCACCGUGACUUUCAUCGUCUGGUUGAUGAUCUCAUGGCGGCAGCAGCAGCUAAGAGGAGGACCUUUAUGCAUCCAUUCUCUCUCAGCCGCACCUCCAUCUGUGUCAGUUUAAUUAAUUAA